rnacentral:rRNA from 1 species
CUUAACACAUGCAAGUCGAACGAGAACGGGGUCUUCGGACCCUUAGUACAGCGGCGGACGGGUGAGUAACACGUGGGUAACCUACCCUUCGGCGGGGGACAACAACCCGAAAGGGUUGCUAAUACCGCAUACGUCGUCGUGGUCUGCGGAUCGCGACGGGAAAGCUAGCCUCUGUUUCAUGCUGGCACCGAAGGUGGGGCCCGCGGCGCAUCAGCUUGUUGGUAGGGUAACGGCCUACCAAGGCGAAGACGCGUAGCUGGUCUGAGAGGAUGAUCAGCCACACUGGGACUGAGACACGGCCCAGACUCCUACGGGAGGCAGCAGUGGGGAAUAUUGGACAAUGGGCGCAAGCCUGAUCCAGCCAUGCCGCGUGAGUGAUGAAGGCCCUCGGGUCGUAAAGCUCUGUGGGGAGGGACGAAAAAACUCGGGUUAAUAGCCUGAGUCUUGACGGUACCUCCUUAGCAAGCACCGGCUAACUCCGUGCCAGCAGCCGCGGUAAUACGGAGGGUGCAAACGUUGCUCGGAAUCAUUGGGCGUAAAGCGCACGUAGGCGGUCCGUUAAGUCGGAUGUGAAA